GACGGGCUACGCAACAGGUUCGCGGGCGGCGGCCUGACGACCAAGCCAGCUGCAGUGGCGGCGACGGCGGCAGAGCAGGGUCUCCCCGCGCCUGCCCGCGCCCAGGCUGCCGGUGCUGAGGGACGCGGAGUCGCGCUGUGACGUGCGGGAGGCGCGGCGAGGGCGCCAGAUGGCUGAGAGCUAGCAAGGAAAACUCAGGACCAUGAUGGCUCAGUUUCCCACAGCUAUGAAUGGAGGGCCAAACAUGUGGGCUAUUACCUCUGAAGAACGUACUAAGCAUGACAGGCAGUUUGAUAACCUCAAACCUUCAGGAGGUUACAUAACAGGUGAUCAAGCACGUAAUUUUUUCCUACAAUCAGGUCUGCCGGCCCCUGUUUUAGCUGAAAUAUGGGCUUUAUCAGACCUAAACAAAGAUGGGAAGAUGGAUCAGCAAGAGUUCUCCAUAGCUAUGAAACUCAUCAAACUGAAGCUUCAAGGCCAACAGUUGCCUGUGGUUCUCCCUCCUAUUAUGAAGCAACCCCCUAUGUUUUCUCCAUUAAUUUCUGCUCGUUUUGGCAAUUUCUUAUAAUUAUAUGUAGAAGCACUCAUUUUGAAUG
rnacentral:sRNA from 1 species